AUUGAACGCUGGCGGCAGGCUUAACACAUGCAAGUCGAGCGGGGUGAUGGUGCUUGCACUAUCACUUAGCGGCGGACGGGUGAGUAAUGCUUAGGAAUCUGCCUAUUAGUGGGGGACAACAUCUCGAAAGGGAUGCUAAUACCGCAUACGUCCUACGGGAGAAAGCAGGGGAUCACUUGUGACCUUGCGCUAAUAGAUGAGCCUAAGUCGGAUGAGCUAGUUGGUGGGGUAAGGGCCUACCAGGGCGACGAUCUGUAGCGGGUCUGAGAGGCUGAUCAGGCACACCGGGGCUGCGAAACGUCCCAGACUCCUACGGGAGCAAGCAGUGGGGAAUAUUGUACAAGGGGGGGAACCCUGAUCCAGCCAUGCCGCGUGUGUGAAGAAGGCCUUAUGGUUGUAAAGCACUUUAAGCGAGGAGGAGGCUCUUUUGGUUAAUACCCAAGAUGAGUGGACGUUACUCGCAGAAUAAGCACCGGCUAACUCUGUGCCAGCAGCCGCCGUAA
rnacentral:rRNA from 1 species